rnacentral:misc_RNA from 1 species
GCAAACUUGGUCAUUUAGAGGAAGUAAAAGUCGUAACAAGGUCUCCGUUGGUGAACCAGCGGAGGGAUCAUUACAGGACUCGCAAGACUCCUUCCAACCCCUGCGAACCUACUCUUCAUACGUUGCUUCGGCGGGCUGCUCCGGGUUUCCCCCGGGGCGCCCACGCCCGCCGGCAGCCUACCCAAAUUCUGUUUCUCUGCGUUGGCAUCUCGAGGAAGCAAAAAUAAGUCAAAACUUUCAACAACGGAUCUCUUGGUUCUGGCAUCGAUGAAGAACGCAGC